rnacentral:rRNA from 1 species
CCUAUACAUGCAAGUCGAGCGAAUGGAUUAAGAGCUUGCUCUUAUGAAGUUAGCGGCGGACGGGUGAGUAACACGUGGGUAACCUACCCAUAAGACUGGGAUAACUCCGGGAAACCGGGGCUAAUACCGGAUAAUAUUUUGAACUGCAUAGUUCGAAAUUGAAAGGCGGCUUCGGCUGUCACUUAUGGAUGGACCCGCGUCGCAUUAGCUAGUUGGUGAGGUAACGGCUCACCAAGGCGACGAUGCGUAGCCGACCUGAGAGGGUGAUCGGCCACACUGGGACUGAGACACGGCCCAGACUCCUACGGGAGGCAGCAGUAGGGAAUCUUCCGCAAUGGACGAAAGUCUGACGGAGCAACGCCGCGUGAGUGAUGAAGGCUUUCGGGUCGUAAAACUCUGUUGUUAGGGAAGAACAAGUGCUAGUUGAAUAAGCUGGCACCUUGACGGUACCUAACCAGAAAGCCACGGCUAACUACGUGCCAGCAGCCGCGGUAAUACGUAGGUGGCAAGCGUUAUCCGGAAUUAUUGGGCGUAAAGCGCGCGCAGGUGGUUUCUUAAGUCUGAUGUGAAAGCCCACGGCUCAACCGUGGAGGGUCAUUGGAAACUGGGAGACUUGAGUGCAGAAGAGGAAAGUGGAAUUCCAUGUGUAGCGGUGAAAUGCGUAGAGAUAUGGAGGAACACCAGUGGCGAAGGCGACUUUCUGGUCUGUAACUGACACUGAGGCGCGAAAGCGUGGGGAGCAAACAGGAU